rnacentral:rRNA from 1 species
GACAGAGGGGGCAAGCGUUGCUCGGAAUCACUGGGCGUAAAGGGCGCGUAGGCGGGAUGGCAAGUCGGUCGUGAAAUCUCUCGGCUCAACCGAGAAACGUCGGCCGAUACUGCCGUUCUUGAGGGAUGCAGAGGAGACUAGAAUUCCCGGUGUAGCGGUGAAAUGUGUAGAGAUCCGGAAGAACACCGGUGGCGAAGGCGGCCUGCUGGGACGUGGCUGACGCUGAGGCGCGACAGCGUGGGGAGCAAACAGG